rnacentral:lncRNA from 1 species
GGGUACCAUAGAGUGAGAGGGAACAGGAAGCGGAGGCAGAAUCAGAGGAUUCUGGAAAGGUCUCUGUGUUUUCUUUUCCACUGAGAAUACAGAAAUCACGAUUAAUUAGUAAAGCUUUGUGGAUGGAAAUCUGUACAAUUUCAGGAGGGGAUACAUAUUACCACGUUAUUUUUGGAUGCUGGGCUUUGCAGCGAUUUGACAUUCUUCUUCAAUCAGGAAUAAGAAACAAAAUAAUGACAAUGUAAAGUAAAUUUUAAAAGAGCCAGAAAUAUAUUUCAGAUGGGAAUAAAUUCUCCAAGACAUCUGAUCCUAAUCUCAGUGGCUGAAGACUAAAGUUUUCAAGAUGUUGGAAAAAUGUGGCUAUAUGGAUACGUAAAUUUAUCUUUGCCUACUGCAAUUGAUUUUGAGAAGCUCUGGAUGCCGGAAUAAUAAUAAUAAAAAAAAAAAAAAAAAAAAAAAAAGGAGAGCUCUGAGAAACUUCAGUCUCAAAGAAGCUGCAGCUCCCAAGGAGAAACCUUUUUUUAACAAUUCCAUUUUCUGCUAGAAAUGCAGCUUUUUGUUUUCAUGAUAGCAAAAGAUCCAGUGGCUAAAUUCUGAGAUCUGCUUUUUCUUAAAAUAACAAAGGUCAACUGAAUGCAUUGGAAUUGGUAGUAGGAGAGGGAGCUGAGAUGACACACUCCUUUAGAUACUUCCUGUCUAUAGUCCCCCUGUACUCCAUUUCUCAUCAAGACAGCAGUGGUGUGAGUUGAGGUAGUUUUCUGAUGACAUCUGCAAACACCUACACUUUUUACUUCUACAGUAGCAGACAAUCUCCAGCUGAUGCUGAAGUGAUACCACCAACCCUGUUGUUUAUGUCUGUCCUGAAGUGGGAGCCCCACCUUUUUAACUUGGACAAUGUCUUUACUGCCCUACUGCAACCAAUGAGUAUCAUGAACAGCUGUGAUUUAGAACAGUUUUUUUUCUAACCUAGUUUUUAUGUGAUUAUUUUUGUUUUUAACAAAAACAUCUGAGACACUACUGUAGUUUAUGCA